rnacentral:rRNA from 1 species
AUUGAACGCUGGCGGCAUGCCUUACACAUGCAAGUCGAACGGUAACAGGUCUUCGGAUGCUGACGAGUGGCGAACGGGUGAGUAAUACAUCGGAACGUGCCUAGUAGUGGGGGAUAACUACUCGAAAGAGUGGCUAAUACCGCAUGAGAUCUACGGAUGAAAGCAGGGGAUCGCAAGACCUUGUGCUACUAGAGCGGCCGAUGGCAGAUUAGGUAGUUGGUGGGAUAAAAGCUUACCAAGCCGACGAUCUGUAGCUGGUCUGAGAGGACGAUCAGCCACACUGGGAAUGAGACACGGCCCAGACUCCUACGGGAGGCAGCAGUGGGGAAUUUUGGACAAUGGGCGCAAGCCUGAUACAGCAAUGCCGCGUGCAGGAUGAAGGCCUUCGGGUUGUAAACGGCUUUUGUACGGAACGAAAAGCCUUGGGUUAAUACCCUGGGGUCAUGACGGUACCGUAGAAUAAGCACCGGCUAACUACGUGCCAGCCGCCGCCGUAACAC